rnacentral:rRNA from 1 species
UACAGAGGUCUCAAGCGUUGUUCGGAUUCAUUGGGCGUAAAGGGUGUGUAGGUGGCGCCGUAAGUCGGGUGUGAAAUUUCGAGGCUUAACCUCGAAACUGCAUUCGAUACUGCGGUGCUUGAGGACUGGAGAGGAGACUGGAAUUCAUGGUGUAGCAGUGAAAUGCGUAGAUAUCAUGAGGAAGACCAGUGGCGAAGGCGGGUCUCUGGACAGUUACUGACACUGAGACACGAAGGCGAGGGGAGCAAACGGG